CCUACGGGAGGCAGCAGUGGGGAAUUUUGGACAAUGGGCGAAAGCCUGAUCCAGCCAUUCCGCGUGCAGGAUGAAGGCCCUCGGGUUGUAAACUGCUUUUGUACAGAACGAAAAGGUUUCUACUAAUACUAGGAGCUCAUGACGGUACUGUAAGAAUAAGCACCGGCUAACUACGUGCCAGCAGCCGCGGUAAUACGUAGGGUGCAAGCGUUAAUCGGAAUUACUGGGCGUAAAGCGUGCGCAGGCGGUUAUAUAAGUCAGAUGUGAAAUCCCCGGGCUCAACCUGGGAACUGCAUUUGAGACUGUAUAGCUAGAGUACGGUAGAGGGGGAUGGAAUUCCGCGUGUAGCAGUGAAAUGCGUAGAUAUGCGGAGGAACACCGAUGGCGAAGGCAAUCCCCUGGACCUGUACUGACGCUCAUGCACGAAAGCGUGGGGAGCAAACAGGAUUAGAUACCCUGGUAGUCCACGCCCUAAACGAUGUCAACUGGUUGUUGGGUCUUAACUGACUCAGUAACGAAGCUAACGCGUGAAGUUGACCGCCUGGGGAGUGCGGCCGCAAGGUUGAAACUCGAAAUGAAUUGACGGCUGAGAGNGCGAGGACGACGACGAGGGAGGAGG
rnacentral:rRNA from 1 species